rnacentral:lncRNA from 1 species
AAGAUUCUUAAUCAUAUCAUAGAGUAUUCUCCCUCAAACGGUUUGAAGGUUAGAGAUCCAUUGUUGCGCAUUCACUUGCCUCCAUGGCUAAGUAGCUUAAUCCCAACGAUGCCGUGGACACCCGCGUAUAGGGUGACUUUGACAUAAUCAAAGAUCAAGGACAUAACCACAAGACAGCUGUGAUGCUUCAGGUCAAAGGACUACUUUGCAUUAUCCCAACCAUGAGUUCUCAUGUGACAUGAAUAUGAGAACUCUUCGUUGAUUAUGUUCAGUGAACUUAUUCUUUAUUGAGCACCUACGUACUUGUCUUGAUGUCACACACACCAAUGACUCGAGACUAGUCACUCUCCCUGAG